GAAGUUCUUUCAUUACCCUGAACCUUGUGUCUCAGUGUGAAUUUACUUCUGCGUGCACGCAACUUUAUUAUCUUUAAUUUGGACAGGAACAGAUAGUCAUUCAAACUAAUUGGUUUGCAGUAAAUUAUAUACGACAAAUUGGCGCUUUCAACGUGGGGCUCUGGGCUAUGUCCAGUCUGGGCAGCUGUCCUGGGGGAAGGAAAAGAGCCUGAUCACCUCUGAAUACACGGUAGAGAUUGCUGCAGCACCUAGCCGGUAUGUUCCUGCCCCUGUGAUUGACCUGCCCCAGUGUCUGUGACUGCUGCCGAGAG